GGGCCCAUAGUCGAAUGGUAAGACGUCCCUUUGACGUGGGGAAGACUCGGCGUUCGAUUCGCCGUGGGCCCA
rnacentral:tRNA from 1 species